AUUGAACGCUGGCGGCAUGCCUUACACAUGCAAGUCGAACGGGCAGCACGGGAGCAAUCCUGGUGGCGAGUGGCGAACGGGUGAGUAAUAUAUCGGAACGUGCCCAGUCGUGGGGGAUAACGUAGCGAAAGCUACGCUAAUACCGCAUACGAUCUAUGGAUGAAAGCGGGGGAUCGCAAGACCUCGCGCGAUUGGAGCGGCCGAUAUCAGAUUAGGUAGUUGGUGAGGUAAAGGCUCACCAAGCCGACGAUCUGUAGCUGGUCUGAGAGGACGACCAGCCACACUGGGACUGAGACACGGCCCAGACUCCUACGGGAGGCAGCAGUGGGGAAUUUUGGACAAUGGGCGCAAGCCUGAUCCAGCAAUGCCGCGUGCAGGAUGAAGGCCUUCGGGUUGUAAACUGCUUUGUACGGAACGAAACGGUGAGCUCUAAUACAGUUUGCUAAUGACGGUACCGUAAGAAUAAGCACCGGCUAACUACGUG
rnacentral:rRNA from 1 species